rnacentral:rRNA from 1 species
UCUCACGAAUAACGAACGCUGGCGGCAUGCUCAAUACAUGUCAGUCGAACGAGAUCUUCGCAUCUAGUGGCGCACGGGUGCGUAACGCGUGGGAAUCUGCCCUUGGGUUCGGAAUAACUUCUGGAAACGGAAGCUAAUACCGGAUGAUGACGUAAGUCCAAAGAUUUAUCGCCCAAGGAUGAGCCCGCGUAGGAUUAGGUAGUAGGUGAGGUAAAGGCUCACCAAGCCGACGAUCCUUAGCUGGUCUGAGAGGAUGAUCAGCCGCUCUGGGACUGAGACACGGCCCAGACUCCUACGGGAGGCAUCAGUAGGGAAUAUUGGACAAUGGGCGAAAGCCUGAUCCAGCAAUGCCGCGUGAGUGAUGAAUGCCUUAGGGUUGUAAAGCUCUUUUACCCGGGGUGAUAAUGACAGUACCGGGAGAAUAAUCUCCGGCUAACUCCGUGCCAAAAGCCGCGGUAAUACGGAGGGAGCUAGCGUUGUUCGGAAUUACUUGGGCGUAUAGCGCACGUAGGCGGGUAUUCAAGUCAGAGGUGAAAGCCCGGGGCUCAAACCCGGAACUGCCUUUGAAACUAGAUAGCUUGAAUCCAGGAGAGGUGAGUGGAAACCGAGUGUAAGGUGGCAUCGUAGAUAUCGGAAGACGCCAGUGGCGACGCGGUCAUGGAUGGGAUUGAA